UAUUUCAAAACAUUAUAGAAUUAUCAAUCAUGAAACAUAUGAUGAGCAAGGAAAGAUCCACUCACCUAGAGUCCGUGUUACAACUUCCUAGAACAACCAUCGGGGAGUCCCGAACGAUCGGCGCCUACGGCCAAUUAUUAACCACAUAUCAGAAUCCUCAUCAAUAGAAUACGUAAUUCACAUAAAACACAUCCUCAAGGACAUUCUAAAAUAGUUUGAGACCCAUUGACCAUAAGUCAAUCGUCGAUCAAAGAUCGACAGUAGGGUCUACAACCCUGUAUAACUCGAUCCAGAAGAUCUGCAUAUUAGAUUUUCAAUCUGUAAAUUCCAAAGAUACACAUUAUGCUUCUAGAAUAACAUACUAAAAUUUCAUUGUGAUCCAACGGUCGGAUCUCCGACAAUUUCCCAAAACCAAGUGGCGGUUAACAUUUAUUUUAUAAACUUACACAUCCAAUUCGGGAUGAUCCGUACGUCGGAUUUCUGAUCUAUAAGUUUCUAUGGUCUUUAAAUAUUACGUAAUAUAAUGCAUUAAAUUUUGGUGACGAUCCAAUGGUCGGAUUGUCGAUUACUAUUCUAAUUAAAUGGUGGACCUUAAUGGGACUUUGCCUGAAAUCUGCAGAUUUUGCAGAUUUCCUAAGCGAUCUUUGGAACUCCAUAUCUCACUUGUUUUUCAACCAAAUUUAACCUAUAAUAUACCAAAUCGAAGCUAGAGAAAUUUAGAACAAAAUUAUACCAACUUGGAGUCCAAAUGGUGGCCAGAGGUUGUCGGAAAAUGGUUUGAAAGGCAGCUGUCUGUGAGAAAACUGGCAACUCACCGGAAUUUCUGGGCAACCUUUCAACGUCCAUAACUUUGUCAAUGCUCAACAAAAAGUGAUUCAAAAACGAAAAUCAUUGUUCUUAACGAGACGAAGAAAUUGGUCUUACACGAUGGCUAUCUCGUCGUGAUUUGGCCGGAAAACGCCUUGAAAGUGGCGGAGGUUGCCGGAAACUGGGCAAACAUUAAAUCGUUAUAACUUUCUCAUUUAUCCACCAAAUCACAUGAUCCAACAUGAAAAUUCAUCUACACAACAUGAGGAAUCGAUUUAUACCUAUGACCAAGGCCAAAUAGGCCGGGAAGAGCUCCAAUUUCACUCAAACCCGUUGGAACCCUAAGAUGGGUGUUCUUUGAUUCGACUUCCUUAAUGUUCCAACCACCCUACAAUUGAUUGGGUCUUGUUCUUAGGUCCAUGAUCGGAUCAUAUUUAUAUAUAUUUUUACUUCGAAUUCACUCGUCUUUUCUUGGUUAGUUCCUUAUAUUUUUGAGCUAUUUACGUUAUUUUUGUGUUUAUAGGAUCUGUUAUGCAAUAUUACCUUUUAUUGUCACAUGAUAAUAUUAAUUUACAUUUUAUAAACAAGGUUUGUCCCUCUCUAUGUCUAUAUGUUGAAAGACAAGCAAAAAAAAAUAAUAAAAAGAAGCUGCCCAAGACAGCUAAGGGGAGAAUUGAAAGAGGAAUCCAAGGAGGGCAGCGGGAGAUUAGGCAGACAAAGAAAACCUUUGCAGCUGGCGAGAGAAAGAGGAAAUGAGAAGACUGCGACAAAGGGAAUCCAAAGAAGAAAGCAGGAUAAUUAGAGGGGAGGAAAUAAAAGGAAAUCGGAGGUAUGUAGAGAGGGGGGUCUUGGAGCGGGAGAAGGGAGCUGCCCUUUGGGCAGCUCGCAGAAGGACGAAGAAAAGAGAAUAGGGGAGAGAUAGGAGGGACUGUCAGCGAG
rnacentral:lncRNA from 1 species